rnacentral:rRNA from 1 species
GACGAACGCUGGCGGCGUGGAUUAGGCAUGCAAGUCGAACGGUAGGAUACCUUCGGGUAUCUGAGAGUGGCGAACGGGUGAGUAACACGUAGGUGAUCUACCCUCAAGAUUGGGACAACCCAGGGAAACUUGGGCUAAUACCGGAUGAAAGCAGCAGUGAUGUUGUUUGAAAGGUGGCGUAAGCUGCCGUUUGGGGAUGAGCCUGCGCUCUAUUAGUUAGUUGGCGGGGUAAAGGCCCACCAAGGCGAUGAUAGAUAGGCGGCCUUAACGGGUGGUCGCCCACACUGGGAUUGAGAUACGGCCCAGACUCCUACGGGAGGCAGCAGUCGAGAAUAGUCUACAAUGGCCGAAAGGCUGAUAGUGCGACGCCGCGUGAACGAAGAAGCCCUUCGGGUGUAAGUUCUUUAUAUGUGAGCAGUGCUUUCUAUGUGACAGCAUGGGAGAGAGAUAUUAGCAUAUGAAUAAGCAACGGCUAACUCCGUGCCAGC